ACGGGAGGCAGCAGUGAGGAAUAUUGCGCAAUGGGGGCAACCCUGACGCAGCGACGCCGCGUGAGUGAGGAAGGCCUUCGGGUCGUAAAGCUCUGUCAAGAGGGAAGAAAUGCAUGGUGGUUAAUAUCUGUCAUGUUUGACGGUACCUCUAAAGGAAGCACCGGCUAACUCCGUGCCAGCAGCCGCGGUAAUACGGAGGGUGCAAGCGUUGUUCGGAAUCACUGGGCGUAAAGGGCGCGCAGGCGGCCUGAUCAGUCAGAUGUGAAAGCCCACGGCUUAACCCCGGAACUGCCUCCAAAACUUCCAGUCUGGAGUUCGAGAGAGGUGAGUGGAAUUCCGAGUGUAGAGGUGAAAUUCGUAGAUAUUCGGAGGAACACCAGUGGCGAAGGCGGCUCACUGGCUCGAUACUGACGCUGAGGUGCGAAAGUGUGGGGAGCAAACAGGAUUAGAUACCCUGGUAGUCCACACCGUAAACGAUGAAUGCCAGUCGUCGGGCAGCAUGCUGUUCGGUGACACACCUAACGGAUUAAGCAUUCCGCCUGGGGAGUACGGCCGCAAGGUUAAAACUCAAAGGAAUUGACGG
rnacentral:rRNA from 1 species